ensembl:rRNA 5S_rRNA 5S ribosomal RNA
GCUGACAGCUAACUCUCUGCAACUCUCUAAUGGUCACCCACUGAAAUUAAGCAGGGCUGUGCCCUGGUCAGUACCUGGAUGGGAGACCUCAUGAGAAAGCUAGGUUGCUGCCAGAA